GAUGAACGCUGGCGGCGUGCCUAAUACAUGCAAGUCGAGCGAACGGACGAGAAGCUUGCUUCUCUGAUGUUAGCGGCGGACGGGUGAGUAACACGUGGAUAACCUACCUAUAAGACUGGGAUAACUUCGGGAAACCGGAGCUAAUACCGGAUAAUAUUUUGAACCGCAUGGUUCAAAAGUGAAAGACGGUCUUGCUGUCACUUAUAGAUGGAUCCGCGCUGCAUUAGCUAGUUGGUAAGGUAACGGCUUACCAAGGCAACGAUGCAUAGCCGACCUGAGAGGGUGAUCCGCCACACUGGAGCUGAGCCCCGGUCCAGACUCCUACGGGAGGCAGCCGUAGGGAAUCUUCCGCAAUGGGCGAAAGCCUGACGGAGCAACGCCACGUGAGUGAUGAAGGUCUUCGGAUCGUAAAACUCUGUUAUUAGGGAAGAACAUAUGUGCAAGUAACUGUGCACAUCUUGACGGUACCUAAUCAGAAAGCCACGGCUAACUACGUG
rnacentral:rRNA from 1 species